rnacentral:rRNA from 1 species
CCUACGGGCGGCUGCAGUGGGGAAUAUUGCACAAUGGGGGGAACCCUGAUGCAGCAACGCCGCGUGGGUGAAGAAGUACUUCGGUAUGUAAAGCCCUUUCAGCAGGGAAGAAAAUGACGGUACCUGACCAAGAAGCCCCGGCUAACUACGUGCCAGCAGCCGCGGUAAUACGUAGGGGGCAAGCGUUAUCCGGAUUUACUGGGUGUAAAGGGAGCGUAGACGGCAAGGCAAGUCAGGAGUGAAAGCCCGUGGCUCAACCACGGGACUGCUUUGGAAACUGGUUUGCUGGAGUGCAGGAGGGGUAAGCGGAAUGCCUAGUGUAGCGGUGAAAUGCGUAGAUAUUAGGAGGAACACCGGUGGCGAAGGCGGCUUACUGGACUGUAACUGACGUUGAGGCUCGAAGGCGUGGGGAGCAAACAGGAUUAGAUACCCUUGUAGUC